ACGUGGCACGAAUACGCACAUUGUAUGGAUGGGCAGCGGUAGUGCUUGUUGCAUUAGACGUUCACAUAUCCUAUUCUUUCUCCCACCCCUGGGAGUCCUACGGCGCCGCGUGUAUGUGUGUGAUGGGAGGGGGGACCCCUUCCGUGAAACGGUGCACACAGGCGAAGUGCAUCACGUGCGUUCUUUGCUCUUUUACGCACCGCUGUCAUGCAACGCGCUGCUGAUGGUGUUUUCGAGAACACAUAUGAGCGCGGCGCAGUGCAGAGUCGUGGGCAGCUCUCCAGCAACUCUGAUUGCGAAAGUGACGACGAGGAAGAAGACGACGACGUCGACACAUCCGUCAAACCGCCCCCGGCGGAGGUGACGGCGCUAUGCUGGUGCGCUGCCAGCGUCGGUGUCGCUCGCUUCUUGUGUGCUGAGUGCCGCAUCGAGGUCUUCGAGGUGCCAGUGUGCAUGGUGGCGGGUGAAAUCGUGCGACGCAGACGCGGCGGACUCACAACGCCAGCGGCCACGGUCCAGUCACACGCCGGCGGUGCACAGCUCAUAUCGCAUAGAACGCACGGAAACGCCACCGGCAGCCGCGGCGACGUCCGUAUUGUUACUCACGAAGACAUACCACCGAGCUUACUGUGGCUGGUGCGCUAUCUGCAGGUGUAUCAGCCCCAGGUGCUGCUUCCGCACACCGGUAGCGAGGCGCUGGGCGACUUAAUCGCGCUGGUGGCGGAGCAGACGCCAAUGGAAGUGAUCCGGCUAAGCGCCGCGACGGCGUUUUGUGGACCCGAAGCUCUCCCUCGCUUGGCGGCCAUGUACCCUGCACAGGAGCAUGAGCUUGCCGCGCGGUUUCAUGCAGACAGAACGGCAAUGAUGUGUUCCAUGGCGGCACUGCUUCAGUUUGUCGCAGCAGUCCAGUCUAACGUGGCCGAUGUCGUUGAGCGCGAUGUGUUGCAUGCACUCUACCUCGACGAUGCGUGUGCCGAGGCUCUGCAGAUCACUCGCACAGAACGCCAUCCAAGUAGUGGACAAGGCCGCGGACGCGCAAAAGAAGGUCACUCGCUGCGAGGGCUGUUGAGCGCGGCGCAGAGUUCUGUGGGGAGAGCGAUGCUGCGACAGUGGAUCGCCCUUCCCUGCUGCGACGCUGCUGAGAUUGAGACGCGCCAGUCCGUUGUCGCCUUCUUUGUCAACCCCCUGCAUCACGACAUUGCCGCCCGACUGCGCGCUGCCCUGCACAAGGUGUAUUCGACGACUCAUGUUUUCACGCUGAUGCGGUCGGGCCGGGCGCUGCACAAGCACUAUGUGUCACUAUACCAAACUAUGCGGGGAAUCAUUACUGUGCAGGAGCUGCUGGCCACCGUCGCCCAUGAGGUGAGUCGACUGUAUGUGCUGCUGCAGAGCAUCCGUGUGGAGCCGCUGCGGGCCAUGGCGGCCUCCCUCAAUUCGGCGGUGGUCGGGGUUGCAGGACGCCGUCGCGGUGACGGUGUUGGUGGUGGUGCAACAGACGAAAGACAGGAUCGGCAGCCAUAUUACCCCGCUGUCCAGACGACGGCAGCGCUUUUCUCUUUUGACUACGGCGUGCCCAAUGCUGUGUGCAUCCGUGACGGUGUGGACACGGUACUUGACGAGCUGCGCGCCCGCUUUCGCGAUCUGCGGCUGUCUCUCCAGGCCAAAGCAGAGGCUGCUUUCGCAGAGCUUCCGUGGACGCUGCGGGCAAGGCUCUCUCUGCGCUGCGUGUACACAGUGCCACACGGGUAUUUGCUAUGCGUUCCAGCUGCGGAGCUAGAAGCACUGUUGCCAGUCAAAGACGCGACCGACGUGGACGACCUGGGCGGUGAGAGACGUGAUGACGAUGCAGGAGAGCCGGCGUCGUGGCGCAGCGACGACGCAGAUAACGAGACCGCUGACCCACAAAGUAGCGAUGCUGAACUGCGUCCUCCUAGGGUGGCUGCCACCUCGCCUUCGUUGUCGCCUGCCGAGCGAGCCCGCUCCGUGAUGGCAGACUCCUUCGGCUGGCGGCUUCAUCACGCAACAGAUGCUGGCGAAUGCUGCUUCAAGUCCGCAGCGAUGGAGGAGCUGGACACCUGGGUGGGCGACCUGCAGCGGCGCGUGCAGCAGCGCGAGGAGCAGGUCCGCCGCGAGCUGGACACGUCGCUUCUGUACAACUCUCUCCACCUGCUGCGACCCACUCGCGCGCUGGGGGAGUUGGACUGCCUGCUGAGCUUUGCUCGCGUGUCGGCGCAGGAGGGGUGGUGUCGGCCAGAGAUUGUGGCGCCGGGCGCUGGCUGUGCUGCGCCACAUGACAAGACAGGGGAGGAGGCCGACGAGGGCAUCCUCGAGAUCGAGGAUGGCUGGCACCCGCUUCUCUCUCGACACGUGGGCAUGCAACAGCUCGUUCCGUUUUCGCUCCACCUCCGCACCUCGACAGACCGUGUUUGUUUGGUGCUUGGCGUCAACGGCAGCGGCAAGUCGGUGCUCAUGGGGGCCGUGGCGCACAUCGUGUUUCUCGCUCAUUUGGGGUGCCACGUGCCAGCGGUCACAGCACGGCUGAGCCUCGUCAACAGCAUUUUCGCGCCAUCGUCUUCUGUAUGUGCACCGUCCUCCUCCGCACCACCGUGUUCGGCCUGGUCGGCUGCUGACGUAGCCGCAGCGGCGCCGGGUAGCUUCUACGGCGAGUGCGUGGCGCUUCAUCGUGUGUUGCAUUUUGUCGCUGGCCAGCAGCGCGCACGCCAGGCAUUUCACGGCAACGCCCUCGAUGGCUGCCACAUGGGAGGGCGGGCACUUGUGCUGCUCGACGAGUUUGGACGCGGUACCUCCCCGGAGGAUGGAUGUGCCCUACUGAAGGCGACUCUGCGGUACUUCGCGGACGGAGGGGAGGGCUGCGGUGGUAGGCAGCACGACAGCCCCGGUGCGCCGCUCGUCCUCUGCGCUACUCAUCUUGUCGAAAUGCUGGACCUACCGGGGCAAUGCGCCGCACCUGAGUUUCCUACCCUCAGCGACGCCUGUGACUGCGGAGCAGCGGCGGUGGUGGCUCAAAGUGAUCAAGGCGCUGCUGCGGAACGCACAGACCCCGCUGCCGCGGGUGUGCCUGCGUCUAGUGAAACCUCAGCUCACGAAAACCAGCGCGGGGCCGACCCUCUCUCUCACACAGCAGACACCCCGCUUCCCCUGGAGUGGGUGAAGAUUUACGAGAUGGAGACUCACGCAACUUACGCCACCGAUCAAGAUGGCCUGACUAGUAUCGAAAGCCUACGUGCCGGCAAUGAUAAGCCGAUCUCACCGCUGGCCGCAGGCGAUAGCGGCGCCCCAUUGCCACUGGACGUGACCCCGACGUACCAGCCUGUCUGCCUUACGCCUCACCCCGGACCGCGCCGACAGCAAGACUGGGAACAGCAUUGCAGUAUCCAUCUGGGUGCCGGGCCCGCCAUUGGGCGUCAGUGCGGCCUUGAUGAGGAGCUGCUAAGUUACUGGGAGGAGACCCUGCGCGUGCUGCAUCGCUUGCCAUGACGCUUCGUGUGCGUCGCUUGCCGUCCUCGGGUGUGUCGUGCGAGUGCGACGGAGGACUCACACACACACCCCUUCCCCAUCUCCGCGUUCAUCAGCAGGGUGCCAUCCGCGCCCUCAUUCGCCGGCUUCUCUUUUCUUCUCGUCCACUGAAGCGGUCCGUCGGGCGCUUUGGUUUCCCGCCAACACGCGUGUUAGCCCGCUUCUUCGGUUUAUUCUUUUUUGUUGGUGUUGCUGUUGGUGCUUCUUACGUGCGGCGAAUGCUUCAGCGCAUCGCUGCCCCCCUCCCCCUUCCUCCCCUCCCCCUUCCUCCCCUCCCCGACCAUCAUCUCCUUUGUCCCUCCUUCCCUCUCUGUAUAAUAUCUGCUCUUCUCCCCCUCCGCUGGUGCCAAAAAGCCCACCAUGUCUCCCACGACCGACCCCCGCGCGUGUGUCGUAGUACAACCAGACAAUGGACAAGAAAUUUCUGAGAACAUGCACACGAGUAACAGCCACCGAGUGUGUACCUCAUCAAGCUUUUCUCUCACGCAUGAAAUCUUGUGUGUGUGUGCAUCCCGCGCACACACCAGCUGCCAGGGAGGGGAGCGGGCAAGGCAUGCUUCAGUACACGACAGGAGGUGCACAAAUGCCUGUUCUGCUCUAUUGUCGCUCUGUUGUACCGUGUCUUCCACGUGCGACUCUCGCUCUCCCUCGUUCCUCGUUUUCACCAUCCCCGUCUUCUGCAACUUUUUCGCCUUCUUUUUUUUUCGAAACUGUUCUUCCGCGCCCUCUCCCUCGACCUACGCUACCUGUACGACUUUAG
rnacentral:misc_RNA from 1 species